UAAUACGAACCGUACGAACGUUAUUCGGAUUCACUGGGCUUAAAGCGUGCGUAGGCGGCUGGGAAAGUUGGGUGUGAAAGCCCUCGGCUCAACCGAGGAAUUGCGCCCAAAACUACCUGGCUUGAGGAAGAUAGAGGUAAGCGGAACUAAUGGUGGAGCGGUGAAAUGCGUUGAUAUCAUUAGGAACACCUGUGGCGAAAGCAGCUUACUGGGUCUUAUCUGACGCUGAGGCACGAAAGCUAGGGGAGCGAACGGG
rnacentral:rRNA from 1 species